rnacentral:lncRNA from 1 species
GAGAAAAGAUUGUUGCUGAAAAAGCAUGUGAAGCUUGAUUCUCCACUUGUAUUCCAGGUUUUCUGAAUUUUGGCAAUCUUUGAUCCGGUCAUUUGAUAGCUGUAUUCGGUUUUCCAGUGAAAUGCCACCUUUCUUAUAUCCAUUUCUCAUUGAUAUCACUCUGUGACUCUUGCUACAAUUGUGCUUUUUUCCUUUUCUUUUUUCCUUUUAGUUUGAGAAUAAGAAUCAUUGCUAGUAAUUAGGUUCAGAUUCUUGUUAAAAAAUUAGAUUCAUAUUCCUAUACUCGUUCGUAAUAAGAGAUAGAUACGAUUGUUAUUUACAUUGUGUUUGAU